rnacentral:rRNA from 1 species
UACGUAGGGGGCAAGCGUUGUCCGGAAUCAUUGGGCGUAAAGCGCGUGUAGGCGGCUCGGUAAGUCCGCUCUGAAAGCCCGGGGCUCAACCCGGGAGGCGGGCGGAUACUGUCGGGCUAGAGUCCGGAAGAGGCGAGUGGAAUCCUGGUGUAGCGGUGAAAUGCGCAGAUAUCAGGAGGAACACCAAUGGCGAAGGCAGCUCGCUGGGACGUACUGCGCUGAGACGCGAAAGCGUGGGGAGCA